rnacentral:rRNA from 1 species
UACGGAGGGGGCAAGCGUUGUUCGGAAUUACUGGGCGUAAAGGGCGCGCAGGCGGCUGCUCAAGUCAGGCGUGAAAGGCCUGGGCUCAACCCGGGAAUUGCGCUUGAGACUGGGCUGGCUUGAGUGCGGGAGAGGAUGGUGGAAUUCCCAGUGUAGAGGUGAAAUUCGUAGAUAUUGGGAAGAACACCGGUGGCGAAGGCGGCCAUCUGGACCGCAACUGACGCUGAGGAGCGAAAGCGUGGGGAGCGAACAGG